AACACGACUACAUUAGAUACCCGUGUAGUCCCAGCCCUAAACGAUGCGCGUUAGGUGUAUCGGUGACCACGAGUCACCGAGGUGCCGAAGGGAAACCGUGAAACGUGCCGCCUGGGAAGUACGGUCGCAAGGCUGAAACUUAAAGGAAUUGCGGGGGAGCACAACAACGGGUGGAGCUUGCGGUUUAAUUGGAUUCAACGCCGGAAAUCUUACCGGGACCGACAGCAACAUGAAGGCCAAGCUGAAGACUCUACUUGAUGAUCUG
rnacentral:rRNA from 1 species